GAUGAUCGCUGGCGGCGUGCUUAACACAUGCAAGUCGAACGAACAGACCAGGAGCUUGUGUCUCUGACGUUAGCCGCGGACGUGAGAGGAACAAGUGUACCAUCUACCUAUAAGACUGAGAUAACUUCGGGAAACCGGAGCUAAUAGCGGAUAAUAUAAUAAACCGCAUGGUUCAAUAGAGAAAGACGGUUUUGCUGUCACUUAUAGAUGGAUCCGCGCCGCAUUAGCUAGUUGGUAAGGUAACGGCUUACCAAGGCAACGAUGCGUAGCCGACCGGAGAGAGUGAUCGACGACAGUGGAAGAGGAACACGGGCCAGACUGCUACGGGAGGCAGCAGUAGAGAACUUUCGGCAGUAGGCGAAAGCCUGACGGAGCAACGCGGCGUAGGUGGAGGAGGUCUUGGGGUCGGAAAACUGUGUUAUUAGGGGAGAAGAAAUUUGUAAGUAAGUGAGCACGUAUUGACGGUACCUGGUCAAAAAGCCACGGCUAACUACGUG
rnacentral:rRNA from 1 species